rnacentral:rRNA from 1 species
AAACUGGGAUUAGAUACCCCACUAUGCUUAGCCCUAAACUUAGAUAGUUACCCUAAACAAAACUAUCCGCCAGAGAACUACUAGCAAUAGCUUAAAACUCAAAGGACUUGGCGGUGCUUUACAUCCCUCUAGAGGAGCCUGUUCUAUAAUCGAUAAACCCCGAUAUACCUCACCAUCUCUUGCUAAUUCAGCCUAUAUACCGCCAUCUUCAGCAAACCCUAAAAAGGAAGAAAAGUAAGCACAAGUAUCUUAACAUAAAAAAGUUAGGUCAAGGUGUAGCUCAUGAGAUGGGAAGCAAUGGGCUACAUUUUCUAAAAUUAGAACACCCACGAAGAUCCUUACGAAACUAAGUAUUAAAGGAGGAUUUAGUAGUAAAUUUGAGAAUAGAGAGCUCAAUUGAAUCGGGCCAUGAAGCACGCACACACCGCCCGUCACCCUC